rnacentral:rRNA from 1 species
CCUACGGGAGGCAGCAGUGAGGAAUAUUGGUCAAUGGACGAGAGUCUGAACCAGCCAAGUAGCGUGAAGGAUGACUGCCCUAUGGGUUGUAAACUCUUUUUAUAAGGGAAUAAAACGAGGCACGUGUGCCUUAUUGCAUGUACUACAUGAAUAAGGAUCGCCUAAGUCAGCGCCAGCAGCCGCGGUAAUACGGAGGAACCGAGCGUUAUCCGGAUUUAUUGGGUUUAAAGGGAGCGUAGAUGGGUUGUUAAGUCAGUUGUGAAAGUUUGCGGCUCAACCGUAGAAUUGCAUUUGAUACUGGCAGUCUUGAGUGCAGUUGAGGUAGGCGGAAUGCGUGGUGUAGCGGUGAAAUGCUUAGAUAUCACGAAGAACCCCGAUUGCGAAGGCAGCUUACUAAACUGUGACUGACGUUGAUGCUCGAAAGUGUGGGUAUCAAACAGGAUUAGAUACCCCUGUAGUC